AAAGCUGUAAUGAUGAUAAAAUAUCAAUCUGCCAAAACCGCUGAUGGCAUAAGCGGUUCUCACGGGUUCUGACUGUCAGUCAUCACAACAAUCAAGCGGCUGUGAUCCUUCAGCACACUUCUGUCUGUCUGUCUCUGUGUGAAUGUCUUCAGACUGACUCUCAGGGGAGGACGUGUUGUUCUUCUUCAGGGACACCGUGAGCAUCACAGGUUCACCUGUAUUCAUUUAAAAUAAGAGAAAAGAGAAACGUUUCCUGCUUGCUGAAAGUGACAUCAGAACUUCACUUUUCUUGUGUGGAUCUACAGAGUUUUCUGUGUGUGAGAGAGAAAGUGAUCAGAAAACUCAUUUGUGAUGCACAGAUCGACACGGAUCGGUUUCCAGGUCAUGAUUCGGCUUUUAUUUUGAAAUCUCUGCAGGUUUAUGUUUUGAUUUCUUGUCCUGAUGCAGGGCUGCUCAAUCUUCAGCUCCAACCCUGAACCAACGGAUUAGGAUCUGAAGGAGCACUUGAUCAUUACAGACAGUAGCUGCUACUGAGUCCAGGUUCUUCCAGAGGUAAAGACUGAACAUCAAAAGCACUCUGGAGUCUAACAGCGUUCAGUGGAUCAGAAUCGCUCAGGAACACGCGACGGAUUCGUGACGCAUCGUUUUGCUAACUAAACAAACGGUGGGAUGUCACGCCUGCAGCCACAGUGAACCUGUUGCCGUGGUGACGGUCGGUCAGAGCACAGCAUCACCUGCAGCCGCUGCGCUUUCCUGACGAGACGAACUCGGUCCUGCCGUAACGUUCUGAGAAAAACCAGAGAAUGAUUAACACCAACUAACAAGCUAAAAACUAAUCUUUUCUAUCCUGGGUUAAAAACUCAUCUAAUGUAUUCUGUAGGGAAGCUGCUCUGGUUCAUUGUCUCACAUGAGAUCAGUGGAUCUGUAGGUUUUCCUGUUUUAACUCAUCUGAUUCAGAUGAUCAGUGCAGUCAGACCAUCAAUUCAGUCUGUUUAAUGCUUCACAAAAUCACACCAAACCAUGCAAAUGCAAACAUUAAAAAAGGUCACUUUUAUCAGUUCUGGAUGUUGCUAUUUUCCCUCCUUUUACUUUUAUUUGUCCUAACCCAUGACUUAAGAGAUGAUUAUUUGAACAAUAAUGACAGAUAAAUGAACCUCAGAUAUGAAAAAUGAACUGUAAAGACUCUUUAAGUUAACUUUAGUUUAUUUCUUUAUUGCCAUGUCAGUCAAUCUGUCUGAAUCUGACACUUAUAAUGCAUUAAUUAUUUUAUUUGACAUAUUUAUGUUUUCAUUUUUAUUUUGCUCUGGAAGUCAUAACUGAUCCCUAUUAGCAGCUACAGAAAUGCGCUGAUGAACACGUCGAUGUCGAUGUGAGGCUCUCGGAGUAAAAGCGUUUUCCAGAUGCAUCAGUCCAAAUCAGACAAACUCCGGUCAUGGAAACCCUAAUAAAAUCUCACCUGCCUGUAGAAUCCUAGUAAGCCUUCACACCUCAGUUUUCCUGUUCAGGUGUGUUUGAUUAGGGUUAAAGCAAAGCUCUCCAGGACCGACGUUCGCCACCCCGGGUCUAAAUGUUUUCUGAGGGAGACAUGCUGGGAAAUGACAGAAGCACAUUGACAUCACCACAAAGACAAUGUCAUGUGAACCUGUGUGUUUGUAGAGCAGUUCCUGCUUGAUUCCUGAGCACAACAGGAAGUGCAGGGGACUUUUAAUUUGAUGUUUGCGAAAGGAAGAAAUACAGGUCAUGGGAGACAUUUUAGAUUAAUGAGGGUAACAAAAAACAACAACAACAAUCGAUAGGCCUGUUUUGAACAGUUAUGUCCUCCUGCGUGAACAACAUGAUGUGAACGAAUCUUGACCUUUGACCAGGGAUUUACAGUCGUUUUUGUGGAAUAAUCACGUGGUGGAUUCAUUUGAAGACAAAUCUACAAAGACUAUAUGAGGGUCUGUAGGGAUUUUUCUCCCCUGAAUCAGUGCGGCUGAGUUUUUCCUCCUGCUGUCAGGAUCGUACAAAACUCACCUGGACGUUUCUGACAGGAUGUCUCCAGAUGGAUCCUGAAAGGAUGUUUUUUAUUUAUUUUCUUCUGGCCACACUGCAAAUAUAGGCCAUUCCUGGUCAGUGUCAGAGUGAGAGUGAAAUGCAGGAACAUCCCGAGGCAUAUUGAGUCCAUCAGCACAGAUAUUUCUCAUGUUUAAUUUUGCUGCUCCUGAUGUGUGUCAUGGCAAUGCAUUUUCCAAAAUCAUUAUUUUAAGGUGUAAAAUUAUAGUAAUAAAUAAAAUGUACACAAUUGGUUUAUAAUAUGCUAAACAUGUUAUUUAUUUGUUGUAUACACUAGUGAAAUGCAUCCAUAAUGACCAGUUGGAAUGGUAAUA